rnacentral:snRNA from 1 species
CUUCUGAAACCUUCUGAUUCUCU